rnacentral:tRNA from 1 species
GUUUUUAUAGUUUAAAAUAAAACAUUGGUCUUGUAAACCAAAAUUAAGAAAUAAUCUUUAAAAACU